rnacentral:rRNA from 1 species
GACAGAGGUGCCGAGCGUUAGGCGGAAUCACUGGGCUUAAAGCGUGUGUAGGCGGGUCGUUAAGUGCCUUGUGAAAUCCCACAGCUCACCUGUGGAACUGCUUGGCAUACUGGCGAUCUUGAGCCACUUAGGGGCAACCGGAACAAACGGUGGAGCGGUGAAAUGCGUAGAUAUCGAGAGGAACACCUGCGGCGAAAGCGGGUUGCUGGGCCGACACUGACGCUGAUGCGCGAAAGCCAGGGGAGCGAACGGG